UACGUAGGGUGCGAGCGUUGUCCGGAAUUAUUGGGCGUAAAGAGCUCGUAGGCGGUGUGUCACGUCGGCCGUGAAAACCUGCAGCUUAACUGUGGGCGUGCGGUCGAUACGGGCAUCACUGGAGUUCAGCAGGGGAGACUGGAAUUCCUGGUGUAGCGGUGAAAUGCGCAGAUAUCAGGAGGAACACCGGUGGCGAAGGCGGGUCUCUGGGCCGAUACUGACGCUGAGGAGCGAAAGCGUGGAGAGCAAACAGG
rnacentral:rRNA from 1 species